rnacentral:rRNA from 1 species
UACGGAGGGGGCGAGCGUUAUUCGGAAUUAUUGGGCGUAAAGAGCUCGUAGGCGGUCUGUCGCGUCGGCUGUGAAAACCCGGGGCUCAACCCCGGGCCUGCAGUCGAUACGGGCAGACUAGAGUGCGGUAGGGGAGACUGGAAUUCCUGGUGUAGCGGUGAAAUGCGCAGAUAUCAGGAGGAACACCGGUGGCGAAGGCGGGUCUCUGGGCCGUAACUGACGCUGAGGAGCGAAAGCGUGGGGAGCGAACAGG